rnacentral:lncRNA from 1 species
AGUGCUAGGAACCUGCGCCCGGCUGAGCUGAGCGAGGCGAGAGGAGAAAGCGAGGCCCGGGGACGGGACUGAGAGCUCUGAAAGGAGGGAGGCGGCUCCCGAGUACUCCGCGCGGGGCAGGCCCCGGCCUCGCCUCUUCGCCCAUUUUUAAGGCUCGAGUUAGAGGCCACCUCCUCCGAGAAGCCUUCGGUGACACCACCUCUCCCAGACGGUUCCCCUUUCUGAUUCCCACAGCAUUUUCCAACCAUUCACGGUCAGAACCACUCACCAGGACGUGUUGUCACCAUUUUACCGCUUUGCCUCGUCUCUUAACUAGACGAAAUGGGUUCCUUUUGGCUCUUUGGAAAGGGAGGCUGUCUUCUAUUUAUUUCCGUGGUAAUCCCACCUCCCACAACAAGUUCCAUUCUACAGCAAUGUCUUUUCUCUUGCUGAGAACCAUUCAAGUCUAAGUUUUCUGCCGUCUUCCUUCCUCAUUGUGGUUUGGACCUUCUCGAGAAAGAAUCUGGCCUCAGUCUCCCUCUUCCACACUCAGGGACCGCCACCAUCACAGGCACUCGGUAGAUGUCUGCUGAAUGAGGAUAACUUCUACCCAACACCGUGAAGCCUGGCCCAGGGUCUGGCAUACAGAUGCCGUGUUUGUAAGUCCUGGUUGCUCAUCUCGCCCACUUGCACAGCCCACCUGUGUGGCCGACUCAGGAUUGACCCACCUGCUCUCUUCAGGCCAUAUUCCCACGCAGAAGUGGGUCCCACUCCUCAGGCCUCUGUGCUGGCCCCGUCUGUGGGGUUAGCAAGCAGCCCUGCUCUCCAUUUCCAGCUCAGAAGCAACUGGAUCGUUACCUCAUUGGUGACAACUUGACUGUGCUGCCCAGAGCUGAUAAGAAACAUCACCCGGGGAAGACCAGCUGCCUCUUCCUUGCUUCCUAAUCAGGGUGGAAAUACUGCUAAAUAUAUCACAACUCUUUGCAAGCAUCGUUGGGUUAAGUUCACAUAGAGCUGGUAUUUA